GGUUAAGUGAAUAAGAGCGCAC
rnacentral:rRNA from 1 species